rnacentral:rRNA from 1 species
GGGGGGGGGGGGGGGGGGGCGGGGGGGGGGCGGGGCGGGGGGGGGGGCGGGGAGCGGGGGGGUCUGAGGUUGGCGGCGGGCGGGUGAGUAACACGUGGGUCGCCUCCCGAUAAGACUGGGGUGACUGCGGGAAACCGGAGCUAAUCCCGGCUAAUAUUUUGAACCGCAUGGUUCAAAAGUGAAAGACGGUCUUGCUGUCCCUUAUAGAUGGAUCCGCGCUGCAUUAGCUAGUUGGUAAGGUAACGGCUUACCAAGGCAACGAUGCAUAGCCGACCUGAGAGGGGGAUCGGCCACACGGGAACUGAGACACGGGCCAGACUCCUACGGGAGGCAGCAGUAGGGAAUCUGCCGCAAUGGGCGAAAGCCUGACGGAGCAACGCCGCGUGAGUGAUGAAGGUCUUCGGAUCGUAAAACUCUGUUAUUAGGGAAGAACAUAUGUGUAAGUAACUGUCCACAUCUUGACGGUACCUAAUCAGAAAGCCACGGCUAACUACGUG